GAUGAACGCUAGCUACAGGCUUAACACAUGCAAGUCGAGGGGAAACGCCAUCGAAAGCUUGCUUUUGAUGGGCGUCGACCGGCGCACGGGUGAGUAACGCGUAUCCAACCUGCCCACCACUUGGGGAUAACCUUGCGAAAGUAAGACUAAUACCCAAUGACGUCUCUAGAAGACAUCUGAAAGAGAUUAAAGAUUUAUCGGUGAUGGAUGGGGAUGCGUCUGAUUAGCUUGUUGGCGGGGUAACGGCCCACCAAGGCGACGAUCAGUAGGGGUUCUGAGAGGAAGGUCCCCCACAUUGGAACUGAGACACGGUCCAAACUCCUACGGGAGGCAGCAGUGAGGAAUAUUGGUCAAUGGACGAGAGUCUGAACCAGCCAAGUAGCGUGCAGGAGGACGGCCCUAUGGGUUGUAAACUGCUUUUAUAAGGGAAUAAAGUGAGUCUCGUGAGACUUUUUGCAUGUACCUUAUGAAUAAGAACCGGCUAAUUCCGUG
rnacentral:rRNA from 1 species